AGAGAGCGUAGGAGCGCAGGGCGCGACACAAGGCACCCGAGGCCAGCCCACCACGGCCACCUCCACGCGGCGUGUCAGGUGAACCCCCUCCCCGAAGGCUCAGCGUGGACGAGACGUAUUCGGCAUUGCAGCGAAGGAUCUUGCACUGGGAGUGAGCUGGGGACAGAAGAGAGAGGACAGUGAAGUGAGACGGUGCCCAGACUCAAGUCUAUCCAAGUCCAGUACGCGCGCCUAACUGCCAAAAGGCAUCCGCCAUCCCACCGUUCCUACCACUCAGCGCGGGCGGGCGCUUUCCCGAUCCCAACCUUCAUCCUCCUAAUCCUCGCCUCCUUCCCUCCUUUCUUCUACUAAAAACGUGUAAAGCAGUCAAACUUCUUUUCCCUGAGGUCUAAGGACGCCAUCUGUGUUCAUCCUCAAGUUAAGUGGGAAACAAGACAGGCCUGUUUCAGAGUUGACAGGUGACUAGGACUCAGCACGCAUCCCUCCUCACCCCCCACGCGCUCACUCUUACCCAGCAUCCUAACUUCUAGAAUGCCCAACCCUUCCCUGACCCUUUCCUUACCCUGUCCACAGAGGAGCAGCAGGAGAGUGAGGGUGCUUAGAGUUGGAGGACUGCCAUGAGGGGACCGGGGACUAGGGGAAUGGCCUCUAUCCCCCAUACCUAUCCAGCCAGGUCCCCCCAGGCACCGGUUCUUCCCAGAUGAUGAGCCUCCUACCUAGUGAAUUUCGCUGGAUACUUCUGUGACUGGAAGAAGAAAUUUGGCUGAGUGUGGGGAAAGAGAAGGGUUGAAGACCAGUCAAGAUGGUGGGUAGAGCAUCUGAGGAGACCAAGACAAAAAUGAAACAGACUGGUUCUUGGGAAGAAGGAGGCUUCCAGACAGGGAGCGCGGCAGAUUCCCCCUGGACUGACUGCAAUCUCACGGAGGUCAGAGAGCCAGAGGAGGUUUGGUCCUCCAGCAUUCCCAGUAGUGAGCUCCUGGCCUUUAAAACUGCUGGCGGUGAUUUGUGUGACAUCUGUCACUCAUUGCUCUCAGCCUCUCUUUGCCGAAGAUCCCAUUGAGUUUCCACACAUGAUACCACAGAGGUGGCCGGCUUUGAAGAUGGAUGGCAAGCAUAGCUCGGAGACCCUCCCCCAUCUCUGCCAACUAUUUCAGAAGCCGAAAGGCCCAGCUGUCCGGAGAAGAAAUCUGAGAGCAGAAUUGUUUCGGAGGAGGGUUUAUUCCGUCUGUCCGGAUCGGAUCUCUGCAGCUGUCUAUUCUAUCUCCACCUUUUCCAUUACACUAGUUUGUGCAACAAUCCCUCCUCCCUCCUCCUCAUCAAUACAAACACACACACACACACAAAGAAGCUUCCGGGUUGCCGGGGUAGGGGCAGGAGGGGAGUGAUAACAGAGGCAGAGGUGAAGAAGAAUUGGAGCCGGUUUUGAAGAUCUACAGAGAAGGGGGGUUAGAUAGGUGAAUGGGGAAAGAAGAGAUUCGAGAUUUGGGGAUAUACUUUUAUAGAAACUCUUUGAAGAUUCGAUUAUAACCAAGGGCUUUAGCCAUGUUCAGUCUUUUCAUCUGGUGGCAUUUCUGGGACACUGUCCUACAGUACUUGCCAAGGGGAAGCAGCAUAGGACUGAUUACAAAGUGUGUCACCAAAGCUUCUGGCCCCAUCAGCUCUACAUGCAGUUCUCAGUCUACAGGCCCACAAGGUACGUCGUCUUUUCUCAGACAUACUCCCCUCCCCCCAAAAAAAAGAAGUGUGGGAACACACAGGUAUUUUUUUAUAAUGAAUUUAGUUUUUUCUCAACUAUAAAAGACCACA